rnacentral:lncRNA from 1 species
UUCGUUUGCACACAUUUUCUUGCGGAACAUUCGGUUUUUGGGCGGGUCGUGGAUUUAGUCCACCAUUAUCAGAGAUGCCAGCGGCUAAACCUAGUCUUUGCGUUUGUUUAGUGAACAGAGAAACGCUAUAAAACACAAACCUCUUCCUGUAUCACUUAUCUACAACAUUGCAUACAAAACGCCGACAAUUAAAAGCAGAGAUAGCCGUCGUCACUUGAUGUUUCAAAAUGUCAUUUGUUGUAGAGUUCACUUUCAGCUUCCUUUCAAUUUCGAAACCCACAUCCUCAAGGUUAUUCUCUCACUCUCUUCACCCAUUUUCAUUUUCUCAAAACUCCAAUAUUGAUGAUGUUGUUUUUUCAUUUAUUCACAUGCUCCAUAUGCAUCCUUCCCCAUCCAUCAUCGAAUUUAACAAGAUAUUAGCUCCUAUUGUCAAAUCCAAGAACCAUAAUCCCAUUCUUAUAUCCCUCAUUCAAUAUAUGGAAUUGAGCGGAAUUAAGCAAAACUUUGUUGAAUUUAACAUCUUGAUUAAGUUUUACUCUCACCUGAGUCAAAUGAAAUUUGCCUUGUUUAUAUUUGGCAACACUCUCAAGAUGGGUUAUCAACCUGAUAUCUUUAUUUUGAAUACCCGUAUGAAAGGUUUAUGCGAUAAUGGUGUGAAAUUAUUCUUAUAAAAGGUCUAUGUCUUAACGGUGAGUUACUUUGAUUUUCAAAGUUAUAAUAUUGUGAUUAAUGGAUUAUGUAAGAUGAAAAUGUUGCAUGAAGCACCUAAUCUUUUUGAAUAAAUAUAUCAUUGAUGGUUUGUGCAAAUUCAUAGCUAUGAAUACAUAUAUCAUUGAUAGUUUGUGCAAAUUCAUCGCUAUGAAUAGAUAUAUCAUUGAUGGUUUGUGCAAAUUAAUUCAUUUGAUUAUAUAUAUCAUUGAUGGUUUGUGCAAAUUAAUUCAUUUGAUUAUAUAUAUCAUUGAUGGUUUGUGCAAAUUAAUUCAUUUGAUUACAUAUAUCAUUGAUGGUUUGUGCAAAUUAAUCACUUUCAACAAAUAUAUCAUCGAUGGUUUGUGCAAAUUUGGGAGACUAUGGGUUAUCUGCAAUGAAAAGUGCAAAAAGAGCUUAUAACGUGCAAAAGAGGUUAUAAUGUGCAAAAGGAGUUUAUGAGUUUACAAGAUGUGCAAAAAGAAAAAUAUAUCAUUGAUGGUUUGUGCAAAAUUGGGAGACUACGAGUUAUCUGCAAUGAAAGCUUAUGUGGAAAGCAAAAUAUGUGUGGAAAACAAAGCUUGAGAAUGUAGUAGAGAUUUUCUAUUAAAGACUAGAAUGUAAAUGUUAGAACAUAGAUGGAUGGACUCGAGAUUCACGCUCUCUUUGAGAAUAUUAAGAAUGAUAAGACAAAUCAAGGCUUUGUAAAACAUUUAUUUAUGCUCCCUAGGCGUCUAUUGUAAGAGACAAAUCAAGGCUUUGUAAAACAUUUAUUUAUGCUCCCUAGGCGUCUAUUGUAAGAGUAAAUGCAGAAUAUGCUUUUUAUAUUAUGAUAUGCUUUUAUGAGUUAUUAAGUGGAAAAGUUUAUUUCUCUCUAUUAGUUGUUAUCAAUGUUCUUGCUAUUAGCUAAAAUAUAUUCAGUUUGUGUCUCAACUAAUUCUUGGUAAAUUGUUUAAAAAAAAUAAAAAUAUUAGGUGAGGGGUUAGAGGAUUUAACUGAUGCUUCUUAUGAUUUGGCUAUGCAACAAUUUUCUGCUUGGCAUUCUGGUUUUGGCAUGACCUUCCUUUAGUUUCAAUAAAAUCGUCAUUUGUGGUUUUCUUAAUGUAUAUCAUAUCAAUUAGAUGUUAGUUGGGGUGUGGGAUGUUAGUAGCCUUUGUAUUAAUUCACAUGCUCCAUAUAAUAUCAUGAUCGGUGGACUUUGUAAAGAGUUUGUUUGAUGAAACAUCGACUUGUUGUUAGAAAUAGAAGAAAAAGUUUGCAACCUCAACCCCGCAACUUAUGAAAUAAUUUUACGCUCUCUUUGAAAAAGUUGAGAAUGACAAGACGCAUAAAGUUCUUCUUGAAUUUUUCACUAUAGGUCUACUAAAAAAGUAAUAGUAUGUGAGAUGCUUUCUACUUUCGUAUAUUAUUAUUCAACACCAUCCUUCUAUGUGGGUAAUUAUUGUUGGAAGCUCUACUCUAUACCUUUGCUAUGCUUGAGACUCAUGCAUGCACUUUUUUUGCCUCGUUUAUUUCGUGCUAUGUUGUGCUUGCUAUUAUGUGUUAUCAAUUUCUAUUGUGUCCAUGUAGUUGUGGGGAUUCGAAAUUUGGUAGCUGGAUGGAAACUCUAGGAAACAAUAUUAAGAAAUAGAUCAAUUGCAAGUUGUUACAGAUAUGUAUUUAUAAAAAGGUUAAAAUGUCGUUUCUCUAGAAGUUUGUUUUCUUAUUAGCAAUCAAAGCACACUGAAGAGCUUUCAGGAUGUCUUAAGUUGAUUAGCUAAGUAAAUGUCUUAAGUUGAUUAGCUAAGUAAAUUUAUGUCAAAAGAUGAUCUUAUUUAAAAUACAUAAAGUUCCUCUUUCGUUGUUCUGUAUAUGGUUUUCUUUUUAUGAAUAAUUUUUUCAUUGUUUUUUUACAAGUUUUGCUUUUUGAGUUAUUUUAUUAAUUGCUUUGUGACAGAAUGUCCAGCUCUGGGGCUAUGCUCUCGAUGGUUACAAAACAUGCCACCGCUCCCUUCUUCUUCUACCUCUCUAAGUAUGUUGUGUAUAGAAUAAUGUUUGUAAAUGUACUUUUAAGUUUUCUCUAAGGUAAUAUAUGUUUGGAUAUUUUUUUUAUAAAUGUUAUUUUAUAAAAUAAAAUUUGUUUGAAUUAUAUAAUUAAAUAUAUUUUUAAAUAUGUAUCUAUAAAAAUGUAUAUAUUUUAUUAUAAUAUAAUGUGAAAUUUUGUUGUUAGUGUAUUUUGUAGUUACCGUCAACAUGGGAAGGAGGUUAUUUUAUACUUCUAAUUGUGAAAUGGACAAUUUAAGAAGUAUUCAUUACAUUACUUUUGACCAAAUAUAGAUUUAAAGUAAAAUUAAGUUUGUUGAAUAAAUUUUCAAGAGAAUUCAAACAUAAUGUCAACCCACUCUUCUAUUACAAAAUUACAUUUAGAGUUGUAAAUAGAAAAUAAAACAUGUUAUACUCAAAGAACACAAACCAAAGGGUGGUGGUUACAAUCAUGAUAUUAAUGACGAUGGGAAACAAAAACAUGCUUGUCAUGUUUGUGACAAAGUCUUCCAAUCAAACAAGCCUUUGUAUGUACUAGAGACCCAUGAGAUCGUACUCUAUUAGGGAUCAGAAGGGGCACGCCAUGUCCUUGAAACAGAGCAAUUAUGAUAAUGAUGAUCAAGAUAUAACAGCUAUUGACUUAUCGAAAUACUUGCCAUUAAGAUUGUAUUAAACCAAGAAAUGCAUCAGAACUUAUUACUGUCACUCAAAGACUCUGGAAUAUGUCUAGGAUUAUGGUGGUGACCGUAAAAGGGCCAAACUUUUGACCCAUUAUUUAUGAUAAUGAAGAUAAUGAAGAAGAGAAGAACAAGAGGGAAUCAAUUGGGCUCAAGAGGAGUUCUCGAUUUUCAUUUGAAUCAGCUACCAAGAUGAAACAAACUUUUCUUUUGUUUAUUUAUUUAUUAGGUUAAUAUGCUUUAGAUAUUUUAUAUUUAUAUAAGGGGUUUUUAUAUUUUAUUAGGUGUUUGUUUAAGUGGUUUUUUUUUUUUUUUUUAUUUAGUUCUUUUUGGUUUAGCUUCCAUGUUAAUUAACUACUGAAGCAAUGCUGUUUUAUUUUAGCUAUUAAAAUAAUCUUUGUUGAACAUUAAUUUGUGUUGAAAGCUAUCCUUUUUUAUUGCAGAUUUAUUGUCAGGGAGAGUGACUCAGAAAAGGGGCAAUAGGUCCUAAAUUGUGUUUUCUUUAAUUAUUGUUAGAUCAAAUUGUUUAUUUUUAAGCAUCAAAUUGCAUUAACCUCCAUAAAAAUAUGCUCAAUUAUCACUCAUAUUCCCUCUGGUUUGUAAAUGAACAAUUGUUUUUGAAUAAUUUGUAAAUGAACAAUAGUACCC